rnacentral:rRNA from 1 species
AGAGUUUGAUCCUGGCUCAGAACGAACGCUGGCGGCAUGCCUAACACAUGCAAGUCGAACGAGACCUUCGGGUCUAGUGGCGCACGGGUGCGUAACGCGUGGGAAUCUGCCCUUUGCUUCGGAAUAACAGUUAGAAAUGACUGCUAAUACCGGAUGAUGUCUUCGGACCAAAGAUUUAUCGGCAAAGGAUGAGCCCGCGUAGGAUUAGGUAGUUGGUGGGGUAAAGGCCUACCAAGCCGACGAUCCUUAGCUGGUCUGAGAGGAUGAUCAGCCACACUGGGACUGAGACACGGCCCAGACUCCUACGGGAGGCAGCAGUGGGGAAUAUUGGACAAUGGGCGCAAGCCUGAUCCAGCAAUGCCUCAUGCUGAUGAAGGCCUUCGGGUCGUAAAGCUCUUUUACCAGGG